UACGUAGGGCGCGAGCGUUGUCCGGAUUUAUUGGGCGUAAAGAGCUCGUAGGCGGCUUGUCGCGUCGUCCGUGAAAACUUGGGGCUCAACCCCAAGCUUGCGGUCGAUACGGGCAGGCUAGAGUUCGGUAGGGGAGACUGGAAUUCCUGGUGUAGCGGUGAAAUGCGCAGAUAUCAGGAGGAACACCGGUGGCGAAGGCGGGUCUCUGGACCGAUACUGACGCUGAGGAGCGAAAGCGUGGGGAGCGAACAGG
rnacentral:rRNA from 1 species